rnacentral:rRNA from 1 species
GACGAACGCUGGCGGCGUGCUUAACACAUGCAAGUCGAACGGAAAGGCCCUUCGGGGUACUCGAGUGGCGAACGGGUGAGUAACACGUGGGUGAUCUGCCCUGCACUUUGGGAUAAGCCUGGGAAACUGGGUCUAAUACCGGAUAGGACUACGGCCUGCAUGGGUUGUGGUGGAAAGCUUUUGCGGUGUGGGAUGGGCCCGCGGCCUAUCAGCUUGUUGGUGGGGUGAUGGCCUACCAAGGCGACGACGGGUAGCCGGCCUGAGAGGGUGACCGGCCACACUGGGACUGAGAUACGGCCCAGACCCCUACGGGAGGCAGCAGUGGGGAAUAUUGCACAAUGGGCGCAAGCCUGAUGCAGCGACGCCGCGUGGGGGAUGACGGCCU